rnacentral:rRNA from 1 species
AUUGAACGCUGGCGGCAUGCCUUACACAUGCAAGUCGAACGGUAACGGGUUAAGCCGACGAGUGGCGAACGGGUGAGUAAUAUAUCGGAACGUGCCCAGUCGUGGGGGAUAACGUAGAGAAAUUUACGCUAAUACCGCAUACGAUCCAAGGAUGAAAGCGGGGGACCUUCGGGCCUCGUGCGACUGGAGCGGCUGAUAUCAGAUUAGGUUGUUGGUGAGGUAAAAGCUCACCAAGCCGACGAUCUGUAGCUGGUUUGAGAGAACGACCAGCCACACUGGGACUGAGACACGGCCCAGACUCCUACGGGAGGCAGCAGUGGGGAAUUUUGGACAAUGGGCGAAAGCCUGAUCCAGCAAUGCCGCGUGCAGGAAGAAGGCCCUCGGGUUGUAAACUGCUUUUGUACGGAACGAAAAGGUCUGCCCUAAUACGGCGGGCUCAUGACGGUACCGUAAGAAUAAGCACCGGCUAACUACGUG